rnacentral:piRNA from 1 species
UGGACACUUGUCAGACAGAGCACCU